GCCUGGGUGGCUCAAUUGGUUAUGCAUCUGACUUUGGCUCAGGUGAUCAUCUUAUGGUUUGUGGGUUCGAACCCCACAUCAGGCU
rnacentral:tRNA from 1 species